CCUACGGGAGGCAGCAGUGGGGAAUAUUGCACAAUGGGGGAAACCCUGAUGCAGCGACGCCGCGUGAGUUCCUCCGUAUCUCGGUCCGUCCCUCUCUCUCAGCCUUGAAGAAAAUGACGGUAACUGACUAAGAAGCCCCGGCUAACUACGUGCCAGCAGCCGCGGUAAUACGUAGGUGGCAAGCGUUGUCCGGAUUUACUGGGUGUAAAGGGCGUGGAGACGGGAAGGCAAGUCAGAUGUGAAAUCCGGAGGCUCAACCUCCGAAUUGCAUUUGAAACUGUUUUUCUUGAGUACUGGAGAGGCAGACGGAAUUCCUUGUGUAGCGGUGAAAGGCGUAGAUAUAAGGAGGAACACCAGUGGCGAAGGCGGUCUGCUGGACAGCAACUGACGGUGAGGCGCGAAAGCGUGGGGAGCAAACAGGAUUAGAUACCCCAGUAGUC
rnacentral:rRNA from 1 species